rnacentral:rRNA from 1 species
UACGUAGGGCGCAAGCGUUGUCCGGAAUUAUUGGGCGUAAAGAGCUCGUAGGCGGUUUGUCGCGUCUGCUGUGAAAACUCGAGGCUCAACCUCGGGCUUGCAGUGGGUACGGGCUGGCUAGAGGUAGGUAGGGGAGAACGGAAUUCCUGGUGUAGCGGUGAAAUGCGCAGAUAUCAGGAGGAACACCGGUGGCGAAGGCGGUUCUCUGGGACGGUACUGACGCUGAGACGCGAAAGCGUGGGGAGCGAACAGG